rnacentral:tmRNA from 1 species
GGGGGCGAUUUGGCUUCGACGGGGGUAAAAGGAACGAAAGUAGCGAACCGAGCUUCCACCUCGUAAAACUGGAACCCUAAAAUUAGUUGCAGACAGAAACUACGCUCUUGCUGCUUAAUUAAAAAGCAGCACGCCUUACCGAUUCCUGCCCGAGGGAUUGAAUAAGGCGUCAUAAAAUCGGGCUUUUCCCCUGCAUGACCCCGGUGUAGGGGAGAAAACAAUGGGGUUAGCUCCUUGCAAAUCCCGCCCUUAGGAGUUGCAUGGGGUGAAUGCUAAAAUAAGGGCUAUGUUCGUAGAAGCUUUCGUUGCUUUGCUUCCGGACGCGGGUUCGAAUCCCGUCGCCUCCACCA